ACCUCGGCCUAAUUCACCAAUCGAUAGUGAAAUGGAAGACAAUCCAACAAACAAUAUUCGGCCAUAUCAGUUUGAGCCCGAAUGGCCGGCUGAUGAACACGAAGAAGCUCACCAGUUUGAGGAUAACGAAGAACAGGAAUUUUUGUAUGUUGACGAUGAAUCUCGGCGCGACAAUCUUGAAUGGUGUCAAUGUGGUAACUGCCAAAUAAUGGAUAAUAACGAGGAAUGUUUAUGCUGCAAAGAGAUUUCCAAUAUUUGUGACAAAAAUUUAGAGGCAGUAGAAACGAAUGAGACCACCAAAGUCCCGUUGUGCAUUACACAACAUCCUGGUUUUGAGCCUGUUUGUCUUAACAGGUGGGUUUUACAAACAGCUUGGUACCAGUACAAGCAGCAA